GUCCACGCCGUAAACGAUGCGCGCUAGAUGUCGGGGGGCUUGCCUUUCGGUGUCGCAGCUAACGCGUUAAGCGCGCCGCCUGGGGAGUACGGCCGCAAGGUUAAAACUCAAAGGAAUUGAAUGGGGGCCCCGCGACAAGCGGUGGAGCAUGUGGUUUAAUUCGAAGCAACGCGAAGAACCUUACCAGCCCCUUGACAUGGGGAGUAUGGGCCCGAGAGAUCGGGCCCUUUCAGUUCGGCUGGCUCCCACACAGGUGCUGCAUGGCUGUCGU
rnacentral:rRNA from 1 species